UACGGGGGGGGCAAGCGUUGUUCGGAAUUACUGGGCGUAAAGGGCGCGUAGGCGGCCUGCUAAGUCGGACGUGAAAUCCCUCGGCUCAACCGGGGAACUGCGUCCGAUACUGGCGAGCUUGAAUCCGGGAGAGGGAUGUGGAAUUCCAGGUGUAGCGGUGAAAUGCGUAGAUAUCAGGAGGAACACCGGUGGCGAAGGCGGUUCUCUGGGCCUGUACUGACGCUGAGGAACGAAAGCGUGGGGAGCGAACAGG
rnacentral:rRNA from 1 species